GCCAGCAUGGCAUAGUGGUGUGAGUAUUGGACUAUGACUCUAGAGACCAGGUUUUGAAUCCUUGCUUGCU